AGUGGUUACAACUAUAUACUCCGAAGGCCAGGGAAAGUGCAUCCUUUGCCUUGGAAAUCGUCUUGAUCAUCCCCUAACUGGAGUGGAGAAAAACAGUCAGUUUUCAGAGGUCGACAAUUCUGAGAUCUCCCUGCAAGCUGCAUGGUAUGAAGCAUCCCCAAGUUCCACCAUCUAAUUCUUUUUAGCACCAAAACAUCCUAAGGUAGAAAGUCCUCAAGUUGUACACUAAGACCUGAACACCAAAGCAGGACAAUGGACUACUGUGCAAGUAUUGUUGUAAAAUGAAAAGACCAUUGUAUCCACUGCAAUUGUUAGCAAAACUGAAUUCCAAAGGGAUCUUUUGUGUCACAAACAAUCUCUUCAAACACUGAAGAAUAGCUGUCAGUUGCAGAGAGAAAUUGAAGGUUUUUGAUGUUGUUGUUUCUUACUUGAUCUUCCCCCAAAAAACCCUGUCAUCUGCAGGAACUUGUGCAGGUGCCAUCCAUUCUCUACAUGGUCAUCUUGCCAGUUCUCUUGCCAGCUCUGCACCAGCAGGCAUUGCCACACCAUUCACCAAAAAGUGACCUGUCUUCUGCAUGCUCUCCUACAGGAAAGCAUACCUUGGCUUGGUGGGAUACACAACCCUAAUCACACCAGCAUCUUUGUCUUCUUGUGCAAAGUUUGAA
rnacentral:lncRNA from 1 species